CAGAAACAGGCGCACAAUCAGCCUGUGCACGACGGAAUCGGUCGCAUCUUUUUUUUCUUCCUUUUGCAAAUGCACGGAAAGGCCCGACCAACGCCGGGCAGCGACUCACCGAGCAGACACAAAAAACCCGCGGGUCAACCAUGGCACGGCAGGGACGUCGACAGCAGAAUCCGCACAUUCCUGGGCGAUCGGUUGGCUGUUGUCCGGGGGCAGUCGGGCCCGACGCAUUCUUUGGCCCUGUUCCGUGAGAUGGGGCCGAGUGGACCUCAAACACUUGAUUUCUGGCUGGCCUAAAACAGGACGGAAUAACUCUUUCUUUUUUCCUUCAACCAACGGCCGCCCGAUGCAUUCCGUCCGUCGACGCGGUGGUCGAGGACGCUCCCAAAGCGCGAGACAGCGACGCGAGGCG
rnacentral:lncRNA from 1 species